CGCGAAGAACCUUACCCACCUUUGACAUGUACGGAACUUGCCAGAGAUGGCUUGGUGCUCGAAGGAGAGCCGUAACACAGGUGCUGCAUGGCUGUCGUCAGCUCGCGUCGUGAGAUGUUGGGUUAAGUCCCGCAACGAGCGCAACCCUUGUCAUUAGUUGCUACAUUUAGUUGGGCACUCUAAUGAGACUGCCGGUGACAAACCGGAGGAAGGUGGGGAUGACGUCAAGUCCUCAUGGCCCUUAUAGGUGGGGCUACACACGUCAUACAAUGGCUGGUACAAAGGGUUGCCAACCCGCGAGGGGGAGCUAAUCCCAUAAAGCCAGUCGUAGUCCGGAUCGCAGUCUGCAACUCGACUGCGUGAAGUCGGAAUCGCUAGUAAUCGUGGAUCAGAAUGUCACGGUGAAUACGUUCCCGGGCCUUGUACACACCG
rnacentral:rRNA from 1 species